GCCACCGUAGCUCAAUUGGCAGAGCGGCGGUUUUGUAAACCGCAGGUUGUGGGUUCGAGUCCCCCCGGUGGCU
rnacentral:tRNA from 1 species